CAGUAGCCGCGGUAAUACGAAGGGGGCUAGCGUUGUUCGGAAUUACUGGGCGUAAAGCGCACGUAGGCGGAUAUUUAAGUCAGGGGUGAAAUCCCAGAGCUCAACUCUGGAACUGCCUUUGAUACUGGGUAUCUUGAGUAUGGAAGAGGUGAGUGGAAUUCCGAGUGUAGAGGUGAAAUUCGUAGAUAUUCGGAGGAACACCAGUGGCGAAGGCGGCUCACUGGUCCAUUACUGACGCUGAGGUGCGAAAGCGUGGGGAGCAAACAGGAUUAGAUACCCGUGUAGUCCCUGUCUCUUAUAC
rnacentral:rRNA from 1 species